GAAGGAUUUGGGUCCUGGCUAAUGAGUGGGUGGGGAUGGAAAGGGCAAGUCUUUGCCCCCAGUUUGCUGGUAGACGCUAAGUAACUGGAGAGGAAGUUGGGGGGAUCCCUGCCCAGAACCCACCUUGAGGGAGACCUGAGAUCGCAGAGGAAACGAAAAGACCUUAAGGGAGGGAAUGUGGUUGGCAUGUGGUGUCGAGGGGCACUGGGGUGGGUAUCUUUGGCCAGCGUGUGUUGGGGUGGGGGUGGGGAACGCGAGUAGCUGGGAUCGGGGAAGGAAGGCCGCUGGGUCCUCAGCCUCGGUGUGUGCGGUGUGGGGUGGUGGAGAAGCCCCACUAACAGCGCGGAGGGCCCGGGACCCACACGUGUGGUGGUGGGGGUGGGGCUCGCGGGGCCUGGCGAUUAUCUGGAAGGAAGCCUGGGGUCCCCCACUCUGUGGACGCGUCUAUGGUGUACCGGAGGCAGCACAAAUACGAGUCUCCGCCGCGUGCCAGGGGCCGGGGGUCCCCCAGACUAACGUGCGCGGUGAGAUGCCGGGUCUCGAUCUGGAAGGGGCCGCCGGGUCCCCAACCCCGGAGGGCUGCUGAACGCCGGAGCCUUACAACUGUUAAACUCAGGCAGAGCUCGGGAAAUGCUGCCCGGAUGGGUGACUGAUGGAGAGGGGCUACCACUCUUCCAGCUAAACUCCGCUCUGGUUGGGACCCAGCAAUUAUUUUCCAUAGCGAAGUGUUAAUAAAAUAUCUGUUACUCCCAACACAACCUCCUGGGGGAAGGGACCUGUCUGUCUGCUUCAACUUUGGAUCCUCAGUGCCCACAUCAGGAUACCUGGCCUGAGAGCAUCCGGUGACCCAGUUUUAGGUCUCAAGGUCACUGCCAAGAAAGAGAAGCUGCUAAAGUGACACCUCUGUGCACCCACAUGACUUAACACAAAAGUUAACAGGAGCUCUUCAAAAACAAGCCUCUCGAGUGUCUGUCUCCUGUUUUCCCUGAGGACAGCAUCAGUGGCAUCAGAUAGGGGUUGGGGCUGGGUGACCUGCUGGUCCUCAGCCAUCACUGUGGCCCAGAGGUCAUUUAAGCAGCUCUCUGCUUAGCAGACAGGCAGAGGGAAUAGAUGGAAGGUACAGGUAAACACUGCAUGUGGCCACCGCGAGGAUACCCCGGAGCCUGGGAAACAGACAGGGACGUCGUAAAACCAACACAUAAUGGACCAGUGCAGAGACAGGCAAAACCAGUCAGAAGAAAUAGGAUGGUGCCUAGCCCAGGGACACCUGACUUAAGAGAGGGUCCUGCCGGUAUUACCCUGGAGGAAGGAAUGCUGCACAGAGGCCGAGAGGAAUUUGAACAGACUGGCCUUGCUGGGUUUUUAUCUCUUUUUGUCCAAUCCCAUUUUGACACAGUUGUCCAUGCUCCAAUCAUGCUUAUCCAAUGAAGUUUCCAUAACAGGCCUGAGAGGACAGGGUUCAGGAGCUUCCGGACAGCUGAGCAGGUGGAGGUUCCUGGAGGGUGGUGUGCCAGGGAGGGUGUGGAAGCUCUGCCCCUUCCCCCAUACCUUGUCCUAUGCAUUCCUUUAUCUGCAUCCUUCAUUUUAUUUUAUUUUUUUUUGAGACGGAGUCUUGCUCUUGUCGUCCAGGCUGGAAUGCAGUGGUGCGCGA
rnacentral:lncRNA from 1 species